GCUAAGGCCAUGUUUAGUUACUCCCAACUCCCAACUUUGACACUAUGCAAAAAGAAGAUUCUCCAUCACAUCAAACUUGCGGUACAUGCAUGGAGUACUAAAUGUAGAUGAAAUUAAAAACUAAUUGCACAGUUUUGUUGUACUUUGCGAGACGAAUCUUUUGAGCCUAAUUAGUCAAUAUUUGGACAAUAAUUCACAAAUACAAACGAAACGCUACAGUGUGCUACAGUGCUGUAACAGUAAUUUGGCACCUCCCAAAUUCCC
rnacentral:lncRNA from 1 species